rnacentral:rRNA from 1 species
ACGGGAGGCAGCAGUGGGGAAUAUUGGGCAAUGGGCGAAAGCCUGACCCAGCGACGCCGCGUGAGGGAAGACGGUCUUCGGAUUGUAAACCUCUUUUAUAGAGGACGAAACAAAUGACGGUACUCUAUGAAUAAGCCACGGCUAACUACGUGCCAGCAGCCGCGGUAAUACGUAGGUGGCGAGCGUUAUCCGGAUUUACUGGGUGUAAAGGGUGUGUAGGCGGGACAGCAAGUCAGAUGUGAAAAUUAUGGGCUUAACUCAUAACUUGCAUUUGAAACUGUAGUUCUUGAGGGUCGGAGAGGUAACCGGAAUUCCUGGUGUAGCGGUGAAAUGCGUAGAUAUCAGGAGGAACACCGGUGGCGAAGGCGGGUUACUGGACGAUUACUGACGCUGAGACACGAAAGCGUGGGGAGCAAACAGGAUUAGAUACCCUGGUA